rnacentral:rRNA from 1 species
GGGCAGCACGAUAUAGCAAUAUAUGGGUGGCGACCGGCAAACGGGUGCGGAACACGUACACAACCUUCCGGUGAGAGGGGGAUAGCCCAGAGAAAUUUGGAUUAAUACCCCAUAUUAUAAUGGUCAGGCAUCUGAUUAUUAUCAAAGGCUUCGGCCGCUUAUUGAUGGGUGUGCGUCUGAUUAGGUAGUUGGCGGGGUAGAGGCCCACCAAGCCUGCGAUCAGUAGCUGAUGUGAGAGCAUGAUCAGCCACACGGGCACUGAGACACGGGCCCGACUCCUACGGGAGGCAGCAGUAAGGAAUAUUGGACAAUGGACGCAAGUCUGAUCCAGCCAUGCCGCGUGAAGGAUGACUGCCCUCUGGGUUGUAAACUUCUUUUAUAGGGGAAGAAAGUUAUUUUUUUUAGGAUAUUUGACGGUACCCUAUGAAUAAGCACCGGCUAACUCCGUGCCAGCAGCCGCGGUAAUACGGAGGGUGCAAGCGUUAUCCGGAUUCACUGGGUUUAAAGGGUGCGUAGGCGGGUAUGUAAGUCAGUGGUGAAAUACCGGAGCUUAACUUCGGAACUGCCAUUGAUACUAUAUAUCUUGAAUAUUGUGGAGGUAAGCGGAAUAUGUCAUGUAGCGGUGAAAUGCUUAGAGAUGACAUAGAACACCGAUUGCGAAGGCAGCUUGCUACGCAAAUAUUGACGCUGAGGCACGAAAGCGUGGGGAUCAAACAGGAUUAGAUACCCUGGUAGUCCACGCCCUAAACGAUGAUUACUCGACAUUAGCGAUACACAGUUAGUGUCUGAGCGAAAGCAUUAAGUAAUCCACCUGGGAAGUACGACCGCAAGGUUGAAACUCAAAGGAAUU